rnacentral:rRNA from 1 species
GACGAACGCUGGCGGCGUGCUUAACACAUGCAAGUCGAACGGAAAGGCCCUGCUUUUGUGGGGUGCUCGAGUGGCGAACGGGUGAGUAACACGUGAGUAACCUGCCCUUGACUUUGGGAUAACUUCAGGAAACCGGGGCUAAUACCGGAUAGGAGCUCCUGCUGCAUGGUGGGGGUUGGAAAGUUUCGGCGGUUGGGGAUGGACUCGCGGCUUAUCAGCUUGUUGGUGGGGUAGUGGCUUACCAAGGCUUUGACGGGUAGCCGGCCUGAGAGGGUGACCGGCCACAUUGGGACUGAGAUACGGCCCAGACUCCUACGGGAGGCAGCAGUGGGGAAUAUUGCACAAUGGCGGAAGCCUGAUGCAGCAACGCCGCGUGCGGGAUGACGGCCUUCGGGUUGUAAACCACUUUCGCCUGUGACGAAGCGUGAGUGACGGUAAUGGGUAAAGAAGCACCGGCUAACUACGUG